AUUGCACGCUGGCGGCAGGCCUAACACAUGCAAGUCGAACGAGUGGCGGACGGGUGAGUAAUGUCUGGGAAACUGCCUGAUGGAGGGGGAUAACUACUGGAAACGGUAGCUAAUACCGCAUACCAUCGGAUGUGCCCAGAUGGGAUUAGCUAGUAGGUGGGGUAAAGGCUCACCUAGGCGACGAUCCCUAGCUGGUCUGAGAGGAUGACCAGCCACAAUGGAACUGAGACACGGUCCAGACUGCUACGGGAGGCAGCAGUGGGGAAUAUUGCACCAUGGGCGGAAGCCUGAUGCAGCCAUGCCGGGUGGAUGAAGAAGUACUUCGGGUUGUAAAGUACUUUCAGCGGGGAGGCGUUACCCGCAGAAGAAGCACCGGCUAACUCCGUGCCAGCCGCCGCGGUAAUAC
rnacentral:rRNA from 1 species